GAUGAACGCUGGCGGCGUGCCUAAUACAUGCAAGUCGAGCGAACAGACGAGGAGCUUGCUCCUCUGACGUUAGCGGCGGACGGGUGAGUAACACGUGGAUAACCUACCUAUAAGACUGGGAUAACUUCGGGAAACCGGAGCUAAUACCGGAUAAUAUAUUGAACCGCAUGGUUCAAUAGUGAAAGACGGUUUUGCUGUCACUUAUAGAUGGAUCCGCGCCGCAUUAGCUAGUUGGUAAGGUAACGGCUUACCAAGGCAACGAUGCGUAGCCGACCUGAGAGGGUGAUCGGCCACACUGGAACUGAGACACGGUCCAGACUCCUACGGGAGACAGCAGUAGGGAAUCUUCCGCAAUGGGCGAAAGCCUGACGGAGCAACGCCGCGUGAGUGAUGAAGGUCUUCGGAUCGUAAAACUCUGUUAUUAGGGAAGAACAAAUGUGUAAGUAACUAUGCACGUCUUGACGGUACCUAAUCAGAGAGCCACGGCUAACUACGUG
rnacentral:rRNA from 1 species